rnacentral:lncRNA from 1 species
GAGGCCAGGCCCGGGGAGCCUCAAGCCUCCGGGCACCUUCCAGAGCGUCAGGGCAGGACCGGUCGGGAAGCAGGUGGGAAGGGAAGCAGCACCCUGCACGGAGCUCCUGAGCUCUGGGGGUCACCCCCUCCCAAGUCCCUGGUAGGUUUCUUAGGAGCAAAGUCUUUCCUGUGCCAGGGACAAGGCCCCAAGGACGACUGACCACUGCCCAGGGAUCCCUGACCAGCGAUGGGGGCGCCGGGGCUGUGCACGCCCCACCCCCCAGGGUCUGCUCUCUGUGGGCUGCCGAGGAGGGGACCCCCUGGAAGAGGAGGGGACUUGCAGGCGUGUCCCCCACGCCUCCCCAGGUGCCCCUCGCCAGUCCCGACCCCGUCCUUGGUGCUGGAUGCCCAGUGACUCCCUCGGAGUCAGGGUCGGGGUGGAGGGGUGGGCCCAGGCCUGAGGAAGGACCAGGAUUCCCCCCACCCGGCCCCCCGAGGAGCAGGGCCCCCCAGCCCUUGGUCAGAGGCAGCAGCUGCCCUCUCAGGCCCGCCUGGCACACACUGGACCCCUGGGGGCGGGGGCGGGGGUGUCAGUGCUCUGAGACCCCAGGGACCCCCAGGACCCCUGCCCCUGGUGCUGAACCUAAGGAGCAAACUCCCUUGGUGAGGAGCAGAGUCUGCUGGGGAAGCAGAGGUAACAAGGAAGGUGGUGACGGUGGGGGGGGUCCCCACUUGAACCCCACCCCAGGCUACUGUGUGAGUGAGUGUGGGGCGCAGAUCCUCCCGAUGCCCCCAGUUCUUCCCCUUGGCUCUGGUAGGGAAACGAGGUCUGGGUCUGGGGCCCCCGGCCUUGCAGAGGGGAGGGGCAUCCAUGGCCGUGGGGGGCAGGGUCGUGUCCCCAGGUGCCCCCAGAGCCAGGAGGGCAGGGGUGUGCAGCUGGGAGGCCCUGCCCAGCAGACCUACCGCCCAGGGUGCCCCCAGUGGGGGGUCAGGGGCUCCCACACAGCCCUCCCGGGGGGACUGUCCUCGGCCUUUGCACCCCGCUGCCCGCCUGCCCCUGUCUCUCCCUGCCUUCCUGGGUCCUGGCAGGUGGAGCCACCCCUGGCGCCGUCCCCUCUGCUGAGCAGAACUCCAGAGGCUCCUGCCCUGUCCUCGUGGGGGGGGGGUCACCCCAGGCCACCCCACUUCUGGGGGCGGGUGCUGGGGAGGGAGCGUGUCUGUGUGAU